rnacentral:rRNA from 1 species
AACACGUAUGCAACCUGCCCCGUACACUGGGACAGCCUUCCGAAAGGGAGAUUAAUACCGGAUAAAACAGGGAUGCCGCAUGGCAGUAUUUGUUAAAGGAGCAAUCCGGUACGGGAUGGGCAUGCGGAGGAUUAGAUAGUUGGGAGGGUAACGGCCUGCCAAGUCGGCGAUCCAUAGGGGAACUGAGAGGUUAACCCCCCACACUGGUACUGAGACAGGGACCAGACUCCUACGGGAGGCAGCAGUGAGGAAUAUUGGUCAAUGGACGUAAGUCUGAACCAGCCAAGUCGCGUGAAGGAAGGAAGUAUUAUGUACCGUAAACUUCUUUUGCAGGGGAAUAAAGAA